AUGUGCUUCCGGCUGCCCAGCGCGGCGUCCGGAGCAUCGGACACACAUUGUGCCUGGGAAGAUCUGGGCACUUCAGGGCGUU
rfam:Streptomyces sp. MMG1522 P406contig17.1, whole genome shotgun sequence.